GAUGAACGCUGACAGAAUGCUUAACACAUGCAAGUCAACUGUGGCGGACGGGUGAGUAACGCGUAAAGAACUUGCCUCACAUAUAGGGACAACAUUUGGAAACGAAUGCUAAUACCUGAUACUGUGAGAGAGCUUUGCGUCCCAUUCGCUAGUUGGAGAGGUAACGUCACCCCAAGGCGAUGAUGGGUAGCCGGCCUGAGAGGGUGAUCGGCCACAAGGGGACUGAGACACGGCCCUUACUCAUACGGGAGGCAGUAGUGGGGAAUAUUGGACAAUGGACCAAAGUCUGAGCCAGCAAUUCUGUGUGCACGAUGAAGUUUUCGGAAUGUAAAGUGCUUUCAGUUGGGAAGCAGUACCAACAGAAGAAGUGACGGCUAAAUACGUGCCAGCAGCCGCGGUAAUAC
rnacentral:rRNA from 1 species